GCUGGCUGUGGUGGCGUAUGCCUUUAAUCCCUGCUGAGGCUGGUGGAUCUCUUGAGCUCAGGAAUUCAGAGCUCCAGUGGACUAAACUGACUAAGUGUCUGCACUAAGUUUGGAACCAGUCUGAUGAGCCCUUGGGAGCAGGGAGCUACUAGCUUGUUAAAGAAGGGGUGAACUGGCUCAUGUCUGAAAUGGAGAAGGUCAAAACUUCUGUGCCCAUCAGUGAGAUCAAGUCUGUGAGUAGUCUUUGCACUUCCAGCCUGAGUGAGAUGGGGAGACCUAAUCUUUU
rnacentral:SRP_RNA from 1 species